rnacentral:rRNA from 1 species
AGAGCGAACGCUGGCGGCAUGCUUAACACAUGCAAGUCGCACGGUCAGCAAUGGCAGUGGCGGACGGGUGAGUAACGCGUAGGAAUUUAUCGAUGGGUGGGGGACAACUGCGGGAAACUGCAGCUAAUACCGCAUGACGCCUGAGGGCCAAAGGUUGCAAGACCGCCUGUUGAGGAGCCUGCGUCUGAUUAGCUUGUUGGUGGGGUAAAGGCUUACCAAGGCGACGAUCAGUAGCUGGUCUGAGAGGAUGAUCAGCCACAUUGGGACUGAGACACGGCCCAAACUCCUACGGGAGGCAGCAGUGGGGAAUAUUGGACAAUGGGCGCAAGCCUGAUCCAGCAAUGCCGCGUGUGUGAAGAAGGUCUUCGGAUUGUAAAGCACUUUUGGCAGGGACGAUGAUGACGGUACCUGCAGAAUAAGCCCCGGCUAACUUCGUGCCAGCAGCCGCGGU